AGAAGACAAAGAAUUCAGCAUCCACUGUGUCCUUCUAAGGUGUUCCAGGCGCCCCCUGCUGGGCGUUUUGAGGAACUGCAGCCAGGACCUGUGAGGAGAGCACGUGUAGGUGAGCCCACGCUCCACCAUACGGCAGCCGAGGUAAGUAACCGGCAGAGAGAAGAGGAGACCCAGAGAGUGAAGAGCCGAAGGCAGAGAAGACCCAGAAGAGACAGGAACAGGUAAGAGCAGGGGAGGAAAGGGGGAGGACACCGGAGAGGAACAGAGCAAGAGGGAAGGAGAGAACAGCGAGAGGGGG